rnacentral:rRNA from 1 species
GUACCGUGAGGGAAAGGUGAAAAGUACCCCGACGAGGGGAGUGAAACAGACCCUGAAACUGGACGCCUACAAGCAGUCGGAGGGCGCAAGCCUGACGGCGUACCUUUUGUAUAAUGGGUCAUCGACUUGGUCUCACGAGCAAGCUUAAGCCGAUAGGUGUAGGCGCAGCGAAAGCGAGUCUUAAUAGGGCGAUUGAGUUUGUGGGAUUAGACCCGAAACCAGGUGAUCUAGCCAUGAGCAGGUUGAAGGUAA